rnacentral:rRNA from 1 species
UACGUAGGGUGCAAGCGUUAAUCGGAAUUACUGGGCGUAAAGGGCUCGUAGGCGGCCAACUAAGUCAGACGUGAAAUCCCCAGGCUCAACCUGGGAACUGCGUCUGAUACUGGAUGGCUUGAAUCCGGGAGAGGGAUGCAGAAUUCCAGGUGUAGCGGUGAAAUGCGUAGAUAUCUGGAGGAAUACCGGUGGCGAAGGCGGCAUCCUGGACCGGCAUUGACGCUGAGGAGCGAAAGCUAGGGGAGCAAACGGG